GUCCUUAUGGUCCGCGCUCCUCUGAGUUUAUGGAGGUAAAAACUGCGUGGAGCAGUGAUGAUGCCGGAGACCAGAGGCACAUAAACUUCUGUGUGUUUUUAUUGAAGAUCUGACCUGCAGCUUGGCUUGGUUGGUUCACCUGUUUGUCGCCAUGGAGAUAAUGUAUGACCCUGUGGCUAAUGCUAACCGAGCUAACCCCACAGACACUGGAGGAUUGUGGGUGCUCUGGGGCUCGGAGCAGAGUCAGAGAGCAGAGAGGAAGAGGAGGAAGAGGAGGAGGAGGAGGAGGAGGAGGAGCAACCAGACACAUGGAUGGAUGGAUGGCCGGAAGGAAAAAUGAAAGACAGGUAUGUACAAAAAAAAAAAAAAAAUCUAGUUUCUGUUACUACAGCAAGUACACGAGUCCACCAUCCCCCACACACAAUAUACAGUAUACAACAGCAGGAUACAAAACUACACAACAACUUGACAAACCUGACUCCAUUAUAAUAAUGAAAUACAACAAUAUUUCCAAACAAUAAAACAGGUCCAAAACAAAACAAAACAACAUUAAAACAUACAAUA